UACGAAGGGGGCUAGCGUUGCUCGGAAUCACUGGGCGUAAAGCGCACGUAGGCGGACUCUUAAGUCGGUGGUGAAAUCCUGGAGCUCAACUCCAGAACUGCCUCCGAUACUGCGAGUCUCCGAGUCCGGGAGAGGUGAGUGGAACUGCGAGUGUAGAGGUGAAAUUCGUAGAUAUUCGCAAGAACACCAAGUGGCGAAGGCGGCUGCAGCUGGCCCGGUGACCUGAGCCGUGAGGUGAGCGGAAACGAGCGGU
rnacentral:rRNA from 1 species